rnacentral:rRNA from 1 species
CUGGCGGCAGGCUUAACACAUGCAAGUCGAGCGCCCCGCAAGGGGAGCGGCAGACGGGUGAGUAACGCGUGGGAAUCUACCCUUUUCUACGGAAUAACGCAGGGAAACUUGUGCUAAUACCGUAUACGCCCUUCGGGGGAAAGAUUUAUCGGGAAAGGAUGAGCCCGCGUUGGAUUAGCUAGUUGGUGGGGUAAAGGCCUACCAAGGCGACGAUCCAUAGCUGGUCUGAGAGGAUGAUCAGCCACAUUGGGACUGAGACACGGCCCAAACUCCUACGGGAGGCAGCAGUGGGGAAUAUUGGACAAUGGGCGCAAGCCUGAUCCAGCCAUGCCGCGUGAGUGAUGAAGGCCCUAGGGUUGUAAAGCUCUUUCACCGGUGAAGAUAAUGACGGUAACCGGAGAAGAAGCCCCGGCUAACUUCGUGCCAGCAGCCGCGGUAAUACGAAGGGGGCUAGCGUUGUUCGGAAUUACUGGGCGUAAAGCGCACGUAGGCGGACAUUUAAGUCAGGGGUGAAAUCCCGGGGCUCAACCCCGGAACUGCCUUUGAUACUGGGUGUCUAGAGUAUGGAAGAGGUGAGUGGAAUUCCGAGUGUACAGGUGAAAUUCGUAGAUAUUCGGANGAACACCAGUGGCGAAGGNGGCUCACUGGUCCAUUACUGACGCUGAU